rnacentral:rRNA from 1 species
AUUGAACGCUGGCGGCAGGCCUAACACAUGCAAGUCGAACGAGUGGCGGACGGGUGAGUAAUGUCUGGGAAACUGCCUGAUGGAGGGGUAUAACUACUGGAAACGGUAUCUAAUACCGCAUACCAUCGGAUGUGCCCAUAUGGGAUUAGCUAGUGGGUGGGGUACAGGCUCACCUAGGCGACGAUCCCUAGCUGGUCUGAGAGGAUGACCAGUCACACUGGAACUGAGACACGGCCCAGACUCCUACGGGAGGCAGCAGUGGGGAAUAGUGCACAAUGGGCGCAAGCCUGAUGCAGCCAUGCCGCGUGUAUGAAGAAGGCCUUCGGGUUGUAAAGUACUUUCAGCGGGGAGGCGUUACCCGCAGAAGAAGCACCGGCUAACUCCGUGCCAGCAGCCGCGGUAAUAC